rnacentral:lncRNA from 1 species
AUGGGCUUCCUCCUCGUCCUCUUCAUCUUCCUCCUCGUCCUCUGCAUCUUCCUCCUCCUCCUCUUCAUCUUCGUCCUCAUCCUCUGCAUCUUCCUCCUCCUCUUUCUCUUCCUCCUCAUCCUCUUCAUCUUCCUCCUCCUCUUCCUCCUUGUCCUCUUCAUCUUCCUCUUCCUCGUCCACUUCCUCCUCCUCCUCCUCAUGGGCUUCCUCCUCCUCCUCUUCAUCUUCCUCCUCGUACUCUUCAACUUCCUCCUCCUCCUCCUCCUCCUCACGGGCUUCUUCCUUCUCCUCUUCCUCCUCCUCCUCAUCUUCCUCUUCGUCCUCUGCAUCUUCCUCCUCGUUCUCCUUGUCCUCUUCAUCUUCCUCCUCCUCGGCCUCUUCCUCCUCCUCUUCAUCUUCCUCUUCGUCCUCUGCAUCUUCCUCCUCGUCCUCCUUGUCCUCUUCAUCUUCCUCCUCCUCCUCCUCAUGGGCUUCCUCCUCCUCCUCUUCAUCUUCCUCCUCCUCCUCCUCCUCCUCACGGGCUUCUUCCUCCUCCUCUUCCUCCUCCUCCUCAUCUUCCUCUUCGUUCUCCUUGUCCUCUUCAUCUUCCUCCUCCUCGUCCUCUUCCUCCUCCUCCUCUUCAUCUUCCUCCUCGUCCUCUUCAACUUCCUCCUCCUCCUCUUCCUCCUCUGCAUCUUCCUCCUCCCUCGUCCUCCUUGUCCUCUUCAUCUUCCUCCUCCUUGUCCUCUUCAUCUUCCUCCUCCUCGUCCUCUUCAUCUUCCUCCUCCUCGUCCUCUUCAUCUUCCUCCUCCUCAUCCUCUUCAUCUUCCUCCUCCUCGUCCUCUUCAUCUUCCUCCUCCUCCUCAUCUUCCUCCUCCUCCUCUUCAUCUUCCUCCUCCUCCUCCUCACAGGCUCCCUCCAGCAAGUCUGGCAGGGAAUGGAACGGCCCGGUCAUCAGGCUUGGAGCUGUCCAGGCGGCUAAGGCGGAGCAGGCUGCGGUCCCCCUGCAGGCACUUGUGGAACCGGGGACCUUUCCCUUCCGCCAAGAGAACUGGUCCUUCUGCCCCGGGUCUCCCCUGCGGGGGCUCCUUCCGGCCCCCACAGCCCGUCCGCGGCUACUGCGGCUGCGCGGUGCCACGUCACUUCCGGCCGCCCGCACUUCCGGUGCUCCUGCCUCAGGGCGGAAGGAAGGACGUCGGGGUGGAGGUCGUGCUCCUCUUUCCUCUUCCUUUGUGA